rnacentral:rRNA from 1 species
UAAACGACGGGUGAGUAUGCAUAGGAAUCUACCUAGUAGUAUGGGAUAGCCACUAGAAAUGGUGGGUAAUACUGUAUAAUCCCUGCGGGGGAAAGAUUUAUCGCUAUUAGAUGAGCCUAUGUUAGAUUAGCUAGUUGGUAGGGUAAAGGCCUACCAAGGCAGUGAUCUAUAGCUGGUCUGAGAGGAUGAUCAGCCACACUGGAACUGAGAUACGGUCCAGACUCCUACGGGAGGCAGCAGUGGGGAAUAUUGGACAAUGGGCGCAAGCCUGAUCCAGCUAUGCCGCGUGAGUGAGGAAGGCCUUAGGGUUGUAAAACUCUUUCAGUGGGGAAGAUAAUGACGGUACCCACAGAAGAAGUCCGGGGCAAACUCAA